UACGUAGGGUGCAAGCGUUUGUCCGGAAUUAUUGGGCGUAAAGAGCUCGUAGGCGGUUUGUCGCGUCUGCUGUGAAAACUCGGGGCUUAACCCCGGGCCUGCAGUGGGUACGGGCAGACUAGAGUGCGGUAGGGGAGACUGGAAUUCCUGGUGUAGCGGUGAAAUGCGCAGAUAUCAGGAGGAACACCGGUGGCGAAGGCGGCCUCUGGGUCGACCCUGACGCUGAGAGGCGAAAGCGUGGGGAGCGAACGGG
rnacentral:rRNA from 1 species